UGGCGUGUGACGAGUUACUCGGGUUCCCCUUCAAGACCUUUGGGUGAUGCAAAACCGAGUCUCUGAUGCU